CCUACGGGAGGCAGCAGUGGGGAAUUUUCCGCAAUGGGCGAAAGCCUGACGGAGCAAUACCGCGUGAGGGACGAAGGUCUGUGGAUUGUAAACCUCUUUUGUUGGGGAAGAUAAUGACGGUACCCAACGAAUAAGCAUCGGCUAACUCCGUGCCAGCAGCCGCGGUAAGACGGAGGAUGCAAGCGUUAUCCGGAAUUAUUGGGCGUAAAGCGUACGUAGGCUGUUUCAUAAGUCUGUUGUCAAAGCGCGAGGCUCAACCUUGUAAAGGCAAUGGAAACUGUAAGACUAGAGAGAGAUAGGGGCAGGAGGAAUUCCAGGUGUAGCGGUGAAAUGCGUAGAUAUCUGGAAGAACACCAGUGGCGAAAGCGUCCUGCUGGAUCUCAACUGACGCUGAAGUACGAAAGCUAGGGGAGCGAAUGGGAUUAGAUACCCCAGUAGUCCUAGCCGUAAACGAUGGACACUAGGUGUUGGCCGUAUCGACCCGGUCAGUGCCGUAGCUAACGCGUUAAGUGUCCCGCCUGGGGAGUACGGUCGCAAGAUUGAAACUUAAAGGAAUUGACGGCNGAGAGNGCGAGACGACACGAGGAGAG
rnacentral:rRNA from 1 species